UACGGGGGGAGCAAGCGUUGUUCGGAUUUACUGGGCGUAAAGGGCGCGUAGGCGGCCAGCACAAGUCAGUUGUGAAAUCUCCGAGCUUAACUCGGAACGGUCAACUGAUACUGUGCGGCUAGAGUGCGGAAGGGGCAACUGGAAUUCUUGGUGUAGCGGUGAAAUGCGUAGAUAUCGAGAGGAACACCAGUGGCGAAGGCGAGUCUCUGGACGACUCCUGACACUGAGGCACGAAAGCUAGGGGAGCAAACAGG
rnacentral:rRNA from 1 species